UGGGAAUUUUCCGCAAUGGGCGAAAGCCUGACGGAGCAACGCCGCGUGAGGGACGAAGGCCUCUGGGCUGUAAACCUCUUUUCUCAAGGAAGAAGAUAUGACGGUACUUGAGGAAUAAGCCACGGCUAAUUCCGUGCCAGCAGCCGCGGUAAUACGGGAGUGGCAAGCGUUAUCCGGAAUUAUUGGGCGUAAAGCGUCCGCAGGCGGCUUUUCAAGUCUGCUGUUAAAGCGUGGAGCUUAACUCCAUCAUGGCAGUGGAAACUGAAAGGCUUGAGUAUGGUAGGGGCAGAGGGAAUUCCCGGUGUAGCGGUGAAAUGCGUAGAUAUCGGGAAGAACACCAGUGGCGAAGGCGCUCUGCUGGGCCAUUACUGACGCUCAUGGACGAAAGCCAGGGGAGCGAAAGGGAUUAGAUACCCCUUGUAGUC
rnacentral:rRNA from 1 species